CCGGGGGAGCUGGCUGGCAGGACGUGGGACUCACAUUUGCCUGCGUGCCCUGGAAACUCCCCACAGCUCCUUUCUCCUCAACUGCCUUUUCCGGGCCUCUAAUCUCCCGAUCAGGUUUCCAGAGCUGUGGAGUGUCCUCUGCUUGGAAACUCCCUAGUCAACAAUGGGAAAGUGGGGACACCUGCCUGUGAGGCUGGAAAGCUGGAAUUAGAACCACAGAACCCCAGAAAAACCACGAGCGCUGGGACCUAGGCCCUCAGGACCACCAUCUGGAGAAGCCUGUGGAAAGGGCAAGGGAGCCACUUGCCGCCAGUCCCGUCAGAGCAGCUCAGCUUGUCUCCUCCACUCAGCGAGCCUGUAGGACUGGACUGUUCGUCUCAUCUGCAGAUGAGAAGAGUGAACAUCAACAGGGAAAGUGACUUCCACGAGGACACACAGCCACACGGAGUAUAGGUCUCCGAAUUCUCCAAUCAAUUCCCAGGCAGGUCCACAUUUACAUUUGUUUCUCCUUUGAGCCCUGAUGUUGCCCUCAUUUGUUCUGUUAAUUCAAGUCUAAAAUGAGAGCGCUUAAAAAAAAAAAAAAAAAAAAAAAGUACAGCAAUGGCUCCUACGACGAACACCACUUCAACACCUUUGCCCGUGGCAGACACUGCUAAUCAAUCACAGACUUCCUUCCUGCUGAGCCAGAGCAAAGCUUCAGACUCGCCAACACAGCACUCUUGACAGUCAUUACCAAUUGAUCACAGAUGGUAGAUAAUCAAACCCAACCCUUCCAUUGUAUAGACAGAAUCUUCUAUCCAAACUUGCGUUAUUUCCAGACCUAGUUAUGAUUGGGAGACAGGGGUGCCCACAGCCAUCACAUGACUACAUGUCAACCUCCCUGCAGAUCCUCGUCAUAGAUUAUAGUGUCCCCGUGGGUAGAAUGGGGUCACAGCAGCAUCCAUCUUUCCCCACAUCCAAGAAACUACUCAACACGGACGUCUUGCUUAGAGUUGACCCCACAGCCUUGCCUUUGUGACUGGCAGUCAUGCCAACUUGUGGGGGAAGCAGAUGCUCUUAGCAUUCCACAUCGGCGGGUCUCAGUGUGGCAAAGGGCACCAGGGAAAGGUGUGGUAGAUAAUUAGUUACUAUCACAUUUAAAAAUCCCAAUCUGGAGGACGAUUUGGUUUUUAAUAUA